GGGGUGUUCAAAGUGGCUUAAAAGUCAGGUGUUUGGAGGCUGAAACUCUUAUUCAAAUGGCAGUGAGUGCAGCUGUGAUUCGCAGGGACUGGGUUGCCUGGCUGUCUGGCAAUGGAUAGGAGGAGGGGCAGGGGGACAAAUGGGAGAGGGGGAGACAAGGGGGGGGGAUCACGGCUAACACUACAGGCAGAAUGGGACUUUGCUGUGGCCCAGGCAAAUAGGGCACAGGCCCACAGAAAGGUAACAGACUUGCCAACAUUGGUGUCCGCACUAUAUUCCAGACUCACCUCCAGGACACGGCCGACCCCCGCGACCGGCGGCGGCAGCAGCAGCAGCAUGAGAAGCACGAGAAGCAAUCUAGCAGCAUCUCCCUCUUCUCCAACCCCCUCCAUACGAGUCCUGCGAGGAGUUACCCCCUAAACACACGCACCAGAGAUGUUUUGUCAUCAAGCUGCCACCGUUUUCAGGGGGAAAAUAAAGCCCUGCCAUGCAUAAUACAGGAGGAUCAGGAUCAGACCAUUGAAUCAUCUUGUCACUUUGGACUGAAAUUGGAUUUUUUUUCCUGUGGCUGAGCUUUUACAUCUUCCUAAUGCUUGAGGAGUGUUGGGUGAGAAUGAAGCAAUUUACAAUGCAAAUAGAGGCCUGGGAAGAGAUGGAGGCUGAUCCAUGCAUCUUGGGAGCUGUUUGUGUUUUCUCAUCUCUGGCACAACAAUUUGGUGAUGAUUACUGCUCUCGGAAUAACUGGCCAAGAGGAAAGUUGGGGAUAAACUUUAAAGGCAACAGAUCUCAUUGGAUGCUUAUUAUGUUGAUCACUCAAGAGCAGAAAUGCCAUAGGAAAGAGGAAUCAGUGGCACUAGACACCAAGCUGUUGUGGAUGUUCCAGCAGGAUCAGUGUGUGUGUGUGUGGGAAGUGGUUGUUAUCUUUGGUUAUCUAGCUGUAUGAGUAUACUGGUUUCAUAAAGCUAGAUAACCGAAAGUAAAAACUCCUUCCAGAUCGUCAUCUAAGGAAUAUAUCGCCCAGGGACUGCCAAUAUAAUGACUGUGUCGAGCCCAUGAAUGCAUUUAUCUAGACUCAUGCUGAAUGGAUUGUAUUGCCUUGCAUUUAAACACAUGCAACAGAGCACGGAUUUGAAAUCAUGCUGCUGGGUUUUAUUAUCAAAGCCAUCAAAUCCUCCAUGGGGAAAAAAUGGUGCUGGUGGUAAUGUAUGUGCAAGUUUUGAUGUUCAGCAUAUAAUGUGUUAACACUGUAUAUUUUCCUGCUAUCAUAACUAUGGUAGGAUCCUAUAGACACACAGGAGACAAGACUGCACUCAGGACUGAAUCUACAAUUGUAUUGUAAGAGCAAAAGGUUAUGUGAACAUUUUUUUCUGAAGAAGGUCUCAGCUGGCGGUCGAAACGUUAAGCUAAUUUUUUUCAGUGAAAAUGCUUUCUCCUUUAUUAAAUCCCACGAGUACAGUA